UGUUGAAGUUUUAAAUAAUUUAUAUUUUCACUCAGACUACAAUCUUCAGACAGAGUUCGAGGGUGUCUUCGGCGGGCGCGGGCCCGGGGGCGUAAGCCCCCCGGCGGCCAGUUAAGGCGGGCCCGCCGAAGCAACAAGGUAAAAUAAACACGGGUGGGAGGUUGGACCCAGAGGGCCCUCACUCGGUAAUGAUCCUUCCGCAGGUUCACCUACGGAAAUCGAAUUCCCGCUGCCACUG
rnacentral:rRNA from 1 species